rfam:Gossypium hirsutum cultivar TM-1 chromosome 18, whole genome shotgun sequence
AUCCCAUGAUGAGGGCACUUACGAAGUAACUCCUUGAAUCGCUCCCAACCCUCAUACAAAGACUCGUCAGCUAGUUGCUGGAAAUUUGUGAUCUCGUUCCUAAACUU